UACAGAGACUGCAAGCGUUAUUCGGAUUCACUGGGCGUAAAGGGUGCGCAGGCGGCCAUGUGUGUCAGGUGUGAAAGCCCGAGGCUCAACCUCGGAAUUGCGCCUGAAACUACAUGGCUAGAGUACUGGAGAGGGUAGCGGAAUUCAUGGUGUAGCAGUGAAAUGCGUAGAUAUCGGGAGGAACACCAGUGGCGAAGGCGACUACCUGGCCCAUUCUUGACGCUGAGGCGCGAAAGCUAGGGGAGCGAACGGG
rnacentral:rRNA from 1 species